CCUGAUCCAGCCAUGCCGCGUGCAUGAUGAAGGCCUUCGGGUUGUAAACUGCUUUUGUACGGAACGAAAAGACUCCUUCUAGUAAAGGGGGUCCCUGACGGUUCCGUGCCAAUAAGCACCGGCUAACUACGUGCCAGCAGCCGCGGUAAUACGUAGGGUGCAAGCGUUAAUCGGAAUUACUGGGCGUAAAGCGUGCGCAGGCGGUUAUGUAAGACAGAUGUGAAAUCCCCGGGCUCAACCUGGGAACUGCAUUUGUGACUGCAUAGCUUCAGUACGGUAGAGGGGGAUGGAAUUCCGCGUGUAGCAACGAAAUGCGUAAAUAUGCGGAGGAACACCGAUGGCGAAGGCAAUCCCCUGGACCUGUACUGACGCUCAUGCACAAAAGCGUGGGGAGCAAACAGGAUUAAAUACCCUGGUAGUCCACGCCCUAAACGAUGUCAACUGGUUGUUGGGUCUUCACUGACUCUAUAACGAAGGGAAGCGUGAAGUUGACCGCCUGGGGAGUACAGCCGCCAGGUUGAAACUCAAAGGAAUUGACGGGGACCCGCACAAGCGGUGGAUGAUGUGGUUUAAUUCGAUGCAACGCGCAAAACCUUACCCA
rnacentral:rRNA from 1 species